GAUGAACGCUGGCGGCGUGCCUAAUACAUGCAAGUCGAGCGAACAGACGAGGAGCUUGCUCCUCUGACGUUAGCGGCGGACGGGUGAGUAACACGUGGAUAACCUACCUAUAAGACUGGGAUAACUUCGGGAAACCGGAGCUAAUACCGGAUAACAUGUUGAACCGCAUGGUUCAACAGUGAAAGACGGUUUUGCUGUCACUUAUAGAUGGAUCCGCGUCGCAUUAGCUAGUUGGUAAGGUAACGGCUUACCAAGGCAACGAUGCGUAGCCGACCUGAGAGGGUGAUCGGCCACACUGGAACUGAGACACGGUCCAGACUCCUACGGGAGGCAGCAGUAGGGAAUCUUCCGCAAUGGGCGAAAGCCUGACGGAGCAACGCCGCGUGAGUGAAGAAGGUCUUCGGAUCGUAAAACUCUGUUAUUAGAGAAGAACAAAUGUGUAAGUAACUAUGCACGUCUUGACGGUACCUAAUCAGAAAGCCACGGCUAACUACGUG
rnacentral:rRNA from 1 species